GUAUACUGUUGGUAUUUUGUUGUCAGUGUUGCGGCUUUAAUCUCUUCAUUUCUCCUCACAUCUCUUUAACAUUGGCCUAUCAUUGUGAAUUGUCAGUUGGCAAGAACCAGCACCGAGAAUGACUUUGUAUGCAUUUCUCCUGCUGAGUGUGGUUAGCCAGCACACUUUGACUAUGGUGCUGGAGAAAAAGAAGAAGGAUACCCAGACAUCACAGAGAUAAACAAAGAUCUGGAUCUCCAUGAGGGAGACAUCAUGUUGCCAUCUGGAAGAGCGAGAAACACCAUCCUAGGUGACCAGUACAGAUGGGAAAUCCCUGUCCCAUAUGUUUUGGAUGAGAGUCUUGAUAUGAAUGCCAAAGGGAUCAUUCUUAGGUCAAUGGAGCAGAUUCGCCUGAAAACCUGUGUGGACUUCAAACC